GAAACUUGGUUGGUUUCCCCUUCACUGCAGGUCCACAUGUAUAUCCAUGUCCCGGUGUUUGUAGAGUGAAGUUUUUUGGCAACCUUACUGUCUUGUUACUUGUUCCUGCUAGACCGACAGUUAAUUGGAAUGCGCUAACAGCGUUCUCUGGGUCUUGAACCCACGAGCUAAUUACUCCGCCUCUGCAGCAAUUUGAAAUUUGCUGGUUAUAUGGAGUUCCUGGUAACAAGUCUACAAUG
rnacentral:misc_RNA from 1 species